rnacentral:lncRNA from 1 species
GAUAUUGGACUUACAAAUUGACUAAUAUAUACUCUAGCUCUCUCUACGGCGAUUUCUCAUCUAUCAUGAAGUUGAUGACAUUUGAUAAGGGAUAGAUUUACAUAUCCAAAUAGCUGUUGGAGAAGGAAAAAUGCUCAUCCCGAGAUGAUCAUGUCGCUCUACUCCAUUCGUCAUUUAGUUGUCCUUCACCAUUUUCUGGGCUCUUUCGGUUGUCCUUUUGUCCAUAUCACCAUACCCUUCGGACCGAGGUAUACACACCCUCCAACUGGCUUUGUUCGGCCACGAUCUUCGCUAAUCACUCCACGAUCUCCUCCCAUAAUCUUCUCCACGGUUAUCUUAUAAUCGCGUCACGUUCUCCUUUUUCCUUUAAGAAAUUCUGUCUAUAAAAGCCGCUCUUCUAUCUCCAGAA